rnacentral:rRNA from 1 species
UACGGGGGGGAGCAAGCGUUGUUCGGAUUUACUGGGCGUAAAGGGCGGGUAGGCGGCCACCGCAAGUCAGUUGUGAAAUCUCUGGGCUUAACCCAGAAAGGUCAACUGAUACUGUGCGACUAGAGUGCAGAAGGGGCAACUGGAAUUCUCGGUGUAGCGGUGAAAUGCGUAGAUAUCGAGAGGAACACCUGCGGCGAAGGCGGGUUGCUGGGCUGACACUGACGCUGAUGCGCGAAAGCCAGGGGAGCGAACGGG